CAACAUGAUAACUUUUUUUAUCAGGGUGCUGAUUGAUCGUAUUAUUGCCCGACCGGGGAAUUAAACGUGUUAUAUUGAUAACUGCCGGGAGCAUUGGUGUUCGUUUCGUACAGCUGACGUACAGACAGUACUAGUACUGUAGCCCUUAUGAGCAGGGUGAACUGGCCCCCAGCCCUGACUACAGAGAACAGGACGAUGACCCUGAUAGUCAGCUUUCGUUAUCUCUUCAAUCAAGGGAAGCUAUAGAUGAUGAUGAAGAUGAAGAUGUUGUACACACAAGCAAAGACAAAAUUGAUGAUGAGGAUGGCCUAGACAUCAAACCACCCCAGGUACAGGCCGGGCGAAAGGAGCGGAAACACAAACAUAAAGACAAUCGUCGUCGCGACAAGGAAAGACACUCUCAGGCACAAAAUAAGAGUGAUAGACAGCCAAGAGAAAAAGAUAGAUCCUCACGUAGUGGCCAUGGUUACAGCCGUGAGCCACAGAGAUCCAGAAAACAGGAUAUGAGGGAGCGAGAGGUCAGAGAUACAAGGGAUAGUUAUCGCGAAUCUAAAGAGAAGGAACGAGAGCGUCGAGUCAAGGAGGAAGAGAAGAGGCAAAAAUCUUGUAU